rnacentral:misc_RNA from 1 species
AAGUCGUAACAAGGUUUCCGUAGGUGAACCUGCGGAAGGAUCAUUAAUGAGUUAGGGUCUUCCAGGCUCGAUCUCCAACCCUUUGUAUAACUACCAUGUUGCUUUGGCGGGCCCGUCUUUAACCGGACCGCCGGGGGUCUUUGGACCUCUGGCCCGUGCUCGUCAGUAGCCCUCAAUAAACUCUUUUAACCAUGUUAAAUCUGAAAAUAGUUAAAUAAACUAAAA